AACGAACGCUGGCGGCAUGCCUAACACAUGCAAGUCGAACGAUGCCUUCGGGCAUAGUGGCGCACGGGUGCGUAACGCGUGGGAAUCUGCCUUUCGGUUCGGAAUAACUCAGGGAAACUUGAGCUAAUACCGGAUAACGUCGCAAGACCAAAGAUUUAUCACCGAAAGAUGAGCCCGCGUAGGAUUAGCUAGUUGGUGAGGUAAAGGCUCACCAAGGCGACGAUCCUUAGCUGGUCUGAGAGGAUGAUCAGCCACACUGGGACUGAGACACGGCCCAGACUCCUACGGGAGGCAGCAGUGGGGAAUAUUGGACAAUGGGCGAAAGCCUGAUCCAGCAAUGCCGCGUGAGUGAUGAGGGCCUUAGGGUUGUAAAGCUCUUUUACCCGGGAAGAUAAUGACGGUACCGGGAGAAUAAGCCCCGGCUAACUCCGUG
rnacentral:rRNA from 1 species